ensembl:lncRNA
AGCAGGUCAUUUUGUUAGCAGAUGGAAGGCAAGCGACUCAGCCAUUGAACCCCCACCCCCGCUUUGAGUACCCAGACGCCUGGACCUAGGACAUCAUCCUCAGGUGAGGCCAAAUCCAGCUUCUCCAUAAAACCAGGAAGAAGAGCAAGCAGGACUGCCAGGGUGGAACCCGAGGAAGGAAAAUCCUUCACAGACCACAGAUGGCAUUGUUUGCAAUGAAGAGAAAUGUAGAUAAGAGGAAAGAUGCAGUGACUUACUUGGAUUUUCUAUAUAAAUCAUCACAGCACCUGAAAGCACAGAGUACAGAUAUCCUGUGAGUACUGUGACAAUGCAUGCUGGAGAAAUGGCAGUCCACAUAUCCACCCACUGAAGGUGAGCUGGUUGAACACUG